UGAAAGCUUAAAAUGCCAUGGAGUGCUGGCCU
rnacentral:piRNA from 1 species